GAUGAACGCUGGCGGCGUGCCUAAUACAUGCAAGUCGAGCGAAUGGAUUGAGAGCUUGCUCUCAAGAAGUUAGCGGCGGACGGGUGAGUAACACGUGGGUAACCUGCCCAUAAGACUGGGAUAACUCCGGGAAACCGGGGCUAAUACCGGAUAACAUUUUGAACUGCAUGGUUCGAAAUUGAAAGGCGGCUUCGGCUGUCACUUAUGGAUGGACCCGCGGCGCAUUAGCUAGUUGGUGAGGUAACGGCUCACCAAGGCAACGAUGCGUAGCCGACCUGAGAGGGUGAUCGGCCACACUGGGACUGAGACACGGCCCAGACUCCUACGGGAGGCAGCAGUAGGGAAUCUUCCGCAAUGGACGAAAGUCUGACGGAGCAACGCCGCGUGAGUGAUGAAGGCUUUCGGGUCGUAAAACUCUGUUGUUAGGGAAGAACAAGUGCUAGUUGAAUAAGCUGGCACCUUGACGGUACCUAACCAGAAAGCCACGGCUAACUACGUGCCAGCAGCCGCAGUAACAC
rnacentral:rRNA from 1 species